AGCCAGACUCCUACGGGAGGCAGCAGUGGGGAAUAUUGCACAAUGGGGGAAACCCUGAUGCAGCGACGCCGCGUGAGCGAUGAAGUAUUUCGGUAUGUAAAGCUCUCUCAGCAGGGAAGAAGAUGACGGUACCUGACUAAGAAGCCCCGGCUAACUACGUGCCAGCAGCCGCGGUAAUACGUAGGGGGCAAGCGUUAUCCGGAUUUACUGGGUGUAAAGGGAGCGUAGACGGCGAUGCAAGCCAGAUGUGAAAGCCCGGGGCUCAACCCCGGGACUGCAUUUGGAACUGUGUGGCUGGAGUGUCGGAGAGGCAGGCGGAAUUCCUAGUGUAGCGGUGAAAUGCGUAGAUAUUAGGAGGAACACCAGUGGCGAAGGCGGCCUGCUGGACGAUGACUGACGUUGAGGCUCGAAAGCGUGGGGAGCAAACAGGAUUAGAUACCCUAGUA
rnacentral:rRNA from 1 species